GUGGCCUGGAGGAUGGGACACCAUGAUUUGCAAGACUCUGGUCACAUGCCCACACCUGUGGCUUCUGAAGCAGAGCACCAGCAGUGACAGUCCCACCAGAACCGCAUGGAAUAGAAAACUGUGCAUUUCCCUAAGGAAAGGGAAUGCCAGAGAAGGGCAGAAGGGAAAUCAGGAAGACAAAACGUGUCUUCAUGUUGGAGUGGACCUUUCCUCUAUCUGUCAACAGAAUGGAUAAAUUGUGGAAGAGUAAUAUCAGAAUACUACACAUCAGUAAAAAACAACAAACUUCUGCUACAAACAAUCAACAUCGAUGAAUCUUUCAGGCAAAAGGGUUAAUGCCUACAAUAAGUGUUCUUGAAAUACAGUCACGCGUUGCUUAACCAUGGGGAUAUAUUCUGAUAAAUUCAUCAUUAGGCGAUUUCAUCACUGGGCGAACAUCACAGCUCGUACUCACACAAACCUAGAUGUCAUAGCCUACUACACACCUAGGCUAUAUGAUAUAGGCUAUUGCUAGCAACAAACCUGUACAGCAUGUUACUGUCUUGAAUACUUAGGCAGCAGAGCACAAUGUUAUAGAAACAGAUGAUCAGUGGCCCACGGAUUCCAGGUGAGGAUCUGGGACCCAGACAUCCAGAUAUUGAAAACACAGGGAUGGAGUCUGUAUGGAAAAAAUUAAAAUAUAGCAAAAUGUGAAAUACGGAAGAGAAAUCUUUCAAUUUCCCAAUGGAAGUGAGAAAAGAGCAAAGAAAAGUAUUGGUCUUCCAAAACAAAUAGAGGACGGAGCUGCUGCUGUUGCAUGGUGUCUAGAAACUCAGACAACUUCAUCAUUCCAUAUUUGCAUCCAAGAGAGAGAAAGAAAAA
rnacentral:lncRNA from 1 species